GGGGCUGCUUACUGACUUGCUCCCCAUGCCUUGCUUAGCUACUUCCUUAAACAAGGACAGCUUCCUUGCCCGGGAUAGCGCUGCUCGCAGUGGACUGGACCCUCCCGUAUCAAUCAUCAAUUAAAAGAGAAAAUGCCCCCACAGACCUGUGCACAGGCCAGUCUGAUGGAGGUAGGCUCCCACUAAGCUCCCCCUUCUCAGGUGACUCUAGUUUGGGUGAAAGAGACACAAAGUAACCAGCGCUCGGUGUCCACAGCUUUCACCCAUCUUCAUUGCUGAUGCACACCCAUGCCUGCUAAUCUCAUGGGGUUCUUGUCUUCAUAUUCCUGUCCUGCUGUGGCAUGUUUCCCUUUGCCUCAAAGUGGAUCCCCUUUCUACUUCCUCCUCUCCCUCCCACACAUGACAGCCAGCAAGUUGCUUCCUUGUUUGUUCCAUCGGAGUAUUUUAUUCUCCCUGGUGUUCUGAAAUGAUCUGUGUACCUGCUAGCUUCCUCUGUCAUGCCUCAUAAAGCACUUUGGGGUCCUAGGUGAUUUGUGGUCCUGGUGCCUAGUCCAGGGCUUGGCACAGAUGGGCGUUUUGUAAUACUCUAUUUUAUUGUUCAUGAAACAGUCCUUAGAGGGGAUGCUUAACGGAGGGUUGUAUGGUUCUGUCCAAGGUCUUUUGCAAUGACAGACAUUGUGGCUUUCUGUGGCCAAGCUACUGUCCACAGAGCAGUCCUCAGUGUACUCCUCAGGGUUAUCACUAAGGUGGAUGGUGCUGCCAUCCUACCUUCACUAAAGAUGGAGCAUAGCCAUGUUGCGUGGCUCUCAGUGGCAGAGCUGAUGUCAUAGAACAGUAUGCAGCCUGCUGACUCCGCAGCAGGACGGACACCGAGAGUGGACAGACUUACCGUCACUCAGAGCUGGUCAGCCUGAGUUGUGUAUCGUCCUAGCUUAUUUGCCAAGCUUGGACUUUUUUGAAUUUUAGAUUCUUUGCCCAUUGACAGGAAAAUGGAGGUUACUGGAGCUGCUUGUGCUGUGUUGAGGAUUAAAUGCGCCUGCGUAGUACUCAACAGCAAGCAAUGCUUCAUGGGAUCAAAGCUCAUAUUGUUUAUGAAGAUGUCUGCAUAAAUUAACAAAAAAAUUGCAUUUUUCUCUCCAAAGGUUUAUUCAUUGCACUGAUGACUCUCCAGACCCUUGUAUAGAGUACGAGGUAAGCGGCUUGUUCGCCUUAGACCAUUGAGAAUCCCGGACAAAGGUCCUGGAAGUGUGCUGCUUAUUUGUAAAUGAAAAAUUGUAGUCUAAUUUCUCUGGGAACGUAAAACGGCUAAAUUUUACAUUUAAGAAAUUUGUCGUACAUAUAGAAGAAUAUAUAUUAUUUUUAGUUGGGGCAUGGUGGAGCAUGUUGGUGCAUGUCUUUAAUCCCAGCAGAGGCAGGCAGAUGGCUGAGUUCAAGGACAGGCUGGUCUACAAAGCAAAUUUCAGGCCAGUCAAAGUCACACAGUGAGACUCUGUCUCAAACAAAAGAGAGGGCAGGGCGGGGAGUAUCUUAGUCAUUGUUCUAUUGCUAUGAAGAGACACCAUGGCCACAGCAACUCCUAUAAAAGAAAAUAUUUAAUUAGGGCUUGCUUACCAUUUCAAAGAUUUAGUUUAUUAUCAGGAUGUUUAGGAGCAUGGUGCCAUGCAGCAGAUAUGGUGCUAGAAAGAGGUCUCCAUCCAGAUGGACAGGCAGCAGGGAGAGAGGGAGCACUGGGCCUCGCUCACCCUCCUCAACACACUUCUUCCAAUAAGACCACACCUCCUAAUAGGGCCACUCCCUGGUGACCAAGCAUUCAAAUCCAUGAGCCUAUUGGGGCCAUUCUUACUCAGGCCACCAC
rnacentral:lncRNA from 1 species